CCUACGGGAGGCAGCAGUGGGGAAUAUUGGACAAUGGGCGAAAGCCUGAUCCAGCCAUGCCGCGUGUGUGAAGAAGGCCUUCGGGUUGUAAAGCACUUUCAGUGGGGAAGAAAGCCUUGGGGCUAAUACCCUCGAGGAAGGACAUCACCCACAGAAGAAGCACCGGCUAACUCCGUGCCAGCAGCCGCGGUAAUACGGAGGGUGCGAGCGUUAAUCGGAAUUACUGGGCGUAAAGCGCGCGUAGGCGGUCUGAUAAGCCGGUUGUGAAAGCCCCGGGCUCAACCUGGGAACGGCAUCCGGAACUGUCAGGCUAGAGGGCAGGAGAGGAAGGUAGAAUUCCCGGUGUAGCGGUGAAAUGCGUAGAGAUCGGGAGGAAUACCAGUGGCGAAGGCGGCCUUCUGGACUGACACUGACGCUGAGGUGCGAAAGCGUGGGUAGCAAACAGGAUUAGAUACCCGAGUAGUC
rnacentral:rRNA from 1 species